rnacentral:rRNA from 1 species
CCUACGGGGGGCUGCAGUGAGGAAUAUUGGUCAAUGGACGAGAGUCUGAACCAGCCAAGUAGCGUGAAGGAUGACUGCCCUAUGGGUUGUAAACUUCUUUUAUAUGGGAAUAAAAUGUUCCACGUGUGGGAUUUUGUAUGUACCUUAUGAAUAAGGAUCGGCUAACUCCGUGCCAGCAGCCGCGGUAAUACGGAGGAUUCGAGCGUUAUCCGGAUUGAUUGGGUUUAAAGGGAGCGUAGGUGGAUUGUUAAGUCAGUUGGGAAAGUUUGCGGCUCAACCGUAAAAUUGCAGUUGAAACUGGCGGUCUGGAGUACAGGAGAGGUGGGCGGAAUUCGUGGUGUAGCGGUGAAAUGCUUAGAUAUCACGAAGAACUCCGAUGGCGAAGGCAGCUCACUGGACUGCAACUGACGCUGAGGCUCGAAAGUGUGGGUAUCAAACAGGAUUAGAUACCCCAGUAGUC